rnacentral:rRNA from 1 species
GAUGAACGCUGGCGGUAUGCCUAACACAUGCAAGUCGUACGAGAGUUUUUAACUCUAGUGGCGGACGGGUGAGUAACACGUGAGAAUUUGCCUUUAGGAGGGGGACAACAAUUGGAAACGAAUGCUAAUACCCCAUAUGCUUUCGAGUGAAAUGGAUUUUAUCCGCCUAGAGAGAAGCUCGCGGCUGAUUAGCUUGUUGGUAAGGUAAGAGCUUACCAAGGCGACGAUCAGUAUCUGGUUUGAGAGGACGAUCAGACACACUGGAACUGAGACACGGUCCAGACUCCUACGGGAGGCAGCAGUGGGGAAUUUUCCGCAAUGGGCGAAAGCCUGACGGAGCAAUACCGCGUGAGGGAAGAAUGCCUAUGGGUUGUAAACCUCUUUUUUCAGGGAGGAAUAAAAUGACGUGUACCUGAAGAAUAAGCAAUCGGCUAACUCCGUG